rnacentral:lncRNA from 1 species
CCCCGCCCCUCGCUCCCCCUCCUCUGUGGUUCCUGCCGAGCCGGCUGUGGCGCCAACCCGAGACCCCGAGCUGCGGCGUCAGGGGUGCUUCAUAUAGUUCUUCCUGGCACCUCCCGGGAUGUGACUCUGGGCCCCGUGGCCAUCAUGUCCCUCCUGGUCUCCUUCUACACCUUCCGUGACCCCCCCUGUGCUGUGCUGCUGGCCUUCCUGUGGGGCUGCAUGCAGUUGGCCAUGGGCUCCUGGGCUUGGGUGAGACUCUUUUCCUGCUGAGGUGGGGGCUGCGUUGCUGCUCUUCCUGGGGCCCUGAGGCACCUGCCUCCUGCGGCUGCCCC